rnacentral:rRNA from 1 species
ACUGGGCUUUGGAGCUGGGGUUGAGAUUAGUGGUGUUGUUAUGUGGGACUUUUUGUUUUACUGUUUUCUUAGGGUGGAGUUGAUGUCUCGCCCCCGAAGUGGGGGGAUUUUACCCCAGCUUUGCGUAAGGGCUUUUAAGCGCUUUAAGUUAAGGUGGUAUAAGCUGGGGUAGGUAGUGAUAUAUUACACGACCCCCAACAUAGCUGGUAGAUUAAUGACGUUGAGCACCACCCAUUAUGGGGUUGGUGGGGAUUUCAUGGGGUGGGUUUUGUUUAGUAUUGGUGGGUAUAAAGGUUGCUUUCUGGUAGUUUGUGUGAAAACAACCAACACCAUGUAUUCAUACUUGAGCUAAUUCAAAUUAUUCCUAACGUGGAUUUAAAAUGGGUGGAUAAGUAGGUAGGUGGGCUAGUUUUUAAGUUAGUUAAACAUUAUUUUUCUUUUAAGUGCUUGGGGGUGUACCACACUGUUUUGCAAAAACAUUGCUGGUGGUUGUGCGUUAGCCGGUAAGACCUGCUCGCUGCCGAAGGGUAAAGGGCUUUGUAUUUAUUAAAGUAGCAUAAUUAUUUGUCAUUUGAUUGGUGACUGGUUUGAAUGGUUCAAGGGGUACACCCCGCUUUAUAGGAAUGGGAAAUUAAUACUCCUGGGGAAGGGCUCGGGGCUUAAUUUUAACAAGACGGGAAGACCCCAGAACUUUGAGUUUUUAAGCUUUCGAUGGGGCCUCGCCGGUAGACGGUCGGCGUAGUCAAAGUUUUUUGGUCGAUGAAAAGUACUCUGGGGGUAACAGGACAAAACCCCCCUAAAGGUCAUAUUGUGGGGGGUGUUGUUACCUCGAUGUUGAAUCGUGGGCACCAGGCUUAGUAGCAUGGCGUUUGGUGAGUUUGUUCGGCUUUUAAACCCACACGUGAUUUGAGUUCAGACCGACGUGAGUCAGGUUGGUUCCUAUCUGUUGGGGACUGUUGCUAGUACGAAAGGAUUGUA